UCGAUCUCAAAUCAGGUAGGA
rnacentral:rRNA from 1 species